rnacentral:lncRNA from 1 species
GUUAUAAUCUAUUCUAGUGCUCACGUUUUUGGCAACUUAAAAACGGUCUUGUAUUUGUUUCUUUCCCCCAUAACUCUUGCCAUUGUGUCAGUACCGUGAUUUAAACGCUGCCUUGUUUAGUAGUGCAUGAAUAUCAGCUUCAGGAAGUUUUGCUGGUUAUUCAGAUCUGCACUCGUCAAAUCAAAUCGUUCGAAUACAGUUUAAAGUCUACUCUGAACUUCACGCAGAAUGAUUGCACAUUGCCAGAGACAGAGCUCAUCUGGAAACACUAACCUGGGAGAAAGAAAGUUUAAAGUUCAUAUACAACAGAGGAAGGAUGAAACUGGAGUUCUGCAAUGAAGUCACACGGACUGAUGAGAGGCAGGUGCAUCAUGGGAUUGCACGUGGAGAUGAUCUGGAUGAACCACAGACCGUUGAUAAAUCUGGAAAGUGUCAUUGUUUCAGUGAAAGGUCGAGUCCAAGAAUUUCUGCAGAAGAACGAAGAAACAGUGGGAAAUGGUGGGGAAUUUAUCAUGGAGCACAUAAGGAGCGCCAGAAGGGGCACUCGUGUCGAUUCGAGUCGCCAGUGAUGUUGUUAGACUGCAGGACUGGACAAUGAAGUCUUCAGCAAAUGCACUCGCAAAGCUUUUUUCGGCAGUAUGUAUAGCCCUAGGCUAUAUAGCCUAUUGAUGGUACAGGACUAGUGAUUAGAAAAUAAUUAACAUUUUGCAGUUAGAAAGUAUUGUUAGCUCAACCAGGCGAACUUCUCUUUAAAUCUUUACAAAUGCAUUCAAAUUUGACAAGGGAUCAGGUUUUUUUAAUGAAAAAAUUUAGUUUUAAUAUAAACUGCAUCAAAGCUAAAUUGCUUGAUUCAUAAUUAGCAGGGACAAUAAAAUAUUGAGUCAAACUAACAUUUUAUCACGUGGUUAUAGGCUACAUAUAAUGUGUGAGGUCUCCUUUAAUUAUAACAAUAUAUAUGUCAUGCAGAUUGCUUCGAAGCACAGUAAUAAAAUAGGAUUUAAAUGCAGUGUUUGUCGAUGCCGAUUCGUUCUUCAUGUGAACUCUUCUGAUCGCUAGCGGUCGCUGUCGCUCCUAUUGCUGGAAUCACAAGCUGGGAGCUGAUGCUGUGCGUGAACCCGUGCUGCUGUAUGGGUGUUACAAAAGAAAAGAGCCAGUCUACGCCCAAUAGGGGAUAUUAUCUCGCAGAAGAAAAAAAUAAAUGAAUAAAAUAAACGCAAUAAAAUUUGAAAAGAAAUACACGGUCUGAAGUUACAUUUAGACUGAGAGACAGUACCUGACUCCCAAAAAACAACACAUGUAGC